UUUAUGGAGAGUUUGAUCCUGGCUCAGGACGAACGCUGGCGGCGUGCCUAAUACAUGCAAGUCGAGCGGAGUUGACGAGAAGCUUGCUUCUUUGAUACUUAGCGGCGGACGGGUGAGUAACACGUAGGCAACCUGCCCUCAAGCUUGGGACAACUACCGGAAACGGU
rnacentral:rRNA from 1 species